AGUGAACGCUGGCGGUAGGCCUAACACAUGCGAGUCGAACGGCAGCACAGUAAGAGCUUGCUCUUACGGGUGGCGAGUGGCGGACGGGUGAGGAAUACAUCGGAAUCUACUUUUUCGUGGGGGAUAACGUAGGGAAACUUACGCUAAUACCGCAUACGACCUACGGGUGAAAGCAGGGGAUCUUCGGACCUUGCGCGAUUGAAUGAGCCGAUGUCGGAUUAGCUAGUUGGCGGGGUAAAGGCCCACCAAGGCGACGAUCCGUAGCUGGUCUGAGAGGAGGACAAGCAACACUGGACCUGAGACACGGCCAGGCCUCCUCCGGGGGGAAGCAGGGGGGAUUAUUGGACAAGGGGCGCAAGCCUGACCCACCAAUCCCGGGGGGGGAAAGAAGGCUUUGGGGUUGAAAACCCUUUUUUUGGGGAAAAAAAAGCAGCAGGUUAAUACCCGCCUGUUCUGACGGUACCAAAAAAAUAAGCACCGGCUAACUUCGUC
rnacentral:rRNA from 1 species